ACUGCCUGAUGGAGGGGGAUAACUACUGGAAACGGUAGCUAAUACCGCAUAACGUCUUCGGACCAAAGUGGGGGACCUUCGGGCCUCACACCAUCGGAUGUGCCCAGAUGGGAUUAGCUAGUAGGUGGGGUAAUGGCUCACCUAGGCGACGAUCCCUAGCUGGUCUGAGAGGAUGACCAGCCACACUGGAACUGAGACACGGUCCAGACUCCUACGGGAGGCAGCAGUGGGGAAUAUUGCACAAUGGGCGCAAGCCUGAUGCAGCCAUGCCGCGUGUAUGAAGAAGGCCUUCGGGUUGUAAAGUACUUUCAGCGGGGAGGAAGGCGAUAAGGUUAAUAACCYUGUCGAUUGACGUUACCCGCAGAAGAAGCACCGGCUAACUCCGUGCCAGCAGCCGCGGUAAUACGGACGGUGCAAGCGUUAAUCGGAAUUACUGGGCGUAAAGCGCACGCAGGCGGUCUGUCAAGUCAGAUGUGAAAUCCCCGGGCUUAACCUGGGAACUGCAUUUGAAACUGGCAGGCUAGAGUCUUGUAGAGGGGGGUAGAAUUCCAGGUGUAGCGGUGAAAUGCGUAGAGAUCUGGAGGAAUACCGGUGGCGAAGGCGGCCCCCUGGACAAAGACUGACGCUCAGGUGCGAAAGCGUGGGGAGCAAACAGGAUUAGAUACCCUGGUAGUCCACGCCGUAAACGAUGUCGACUUGGAGGUUGUGCCCUUGAGGCGUGGCUUCCGGAGCUAACGCGUUAAGUCGACCGCCUGGGGAGUACGGCCGCAAGGUUAAAACUCAAAUGAAUUGACGGGGGCCCGCACAAGCGGUGGAGCAUGUGGUUUAAUUCGAUGCAACGCGAAGAACCUUACCUGGCCUUGACAUCCACGGAAUUCGGCAGAGAUGCCUUAGUGCCUUCGGGAACCGUGAGACAGGUGCUGCAUGGCUGUCGUCAGCUCGUGUUGUGAAAUGUUGGGUUAAGUCCCGCAACGAGCGCAACCCUUAUCCUUUGUUGCCAGCGAGUAAUGUCGGGAACUCAAAGGAGACUGCCGGUGACAAACCGGAGGAAGGUGGGGAUGACGUCAAGUCAUCAUGGCCCUUACGGCCAGGGCUACACACGUGCUACAAUGGCGCAUACAAAGAGAAGCGAACUCGCGAGAGCAAGCGGACCUCAUAAAGUGCGUCGUAGUCCGGAUCGGAGUCUGCAACUCGACUCCGUGAAGUCGGAAUCGCUAGUAAUCGUAGAUCAGAAUGCUACGGUGAAUACGUUCCCGGGCCUUGUACAC
rnacentral:rRNA from 1 species